CAGAUGUUAGUAAUAAUCAUUAUAACGCUUUGUCAAGGCGUAGUUAUAGGGUAAAAACCUAUACACCUGA
rnacentral:tRNA from 1 species